AUUCCAGCUCCAAAAGCGUAUAUUAAAGUUGUUGCAGUUAAAAAGCUCGUAGUUGAAGUUCUGGCUGUAUUGGGCCUUUGCACUAGAUGCGAAGGAACCAGCAGUCAUCCGCUUGCAAAUACAUGUCCUUCCUUAACCGGUAGGCUGUAUAAGUAAGCACUUUUACCUUGAGAAAAACAGAGUGUUCCAGGCAGGUUUGUCCGGAAUGCGUUAGCAUGGAAUAAUAGAAUAUGACUGAAGUCGAUUUAUUGGUUUAAGGCUUUAGUAAUGAUUAAUAGGAACAAUCGGGGGCAUUGGUACUUGUCAGUCAGAGGUGAAAUUCUAGGAUUUGACAAAGACUAACUGAUGCGAAAGCGUUUGCCAAGAAUGUUUUCAUUAAUCAAGAACGAAAGUUAGGGGAUCAAAGACGAUCAGAUACCGUCCUAGUCUUAACUAUAAACUAUACCGACUCGGAUUCAGAUGAA
rnacentral:rRNA from 1 species